rnacentral:rRNA from 1 species
AACGUAGGGCGCGAGCGUUAUCCGGAUUCAUUGGGCGUAAAGGGCGCGUAGGCGGUCCGGUAAGUCGGGUGUGAAAGCCCCGGGCUCAACCCGGGAAGUGCAUUCGAAACUGCCGGACUUUAGUACGGGAGGGGGAAGUGGAAUUCCUGGUGUAGGGGUGAAAUCCGUAGAUAUCAGGAGGAACACCGGUGGCGAAGGCGACAUCCUGGACCGAUACUGUCGCUGAGGCGCGAAAGCGUGGGGAGCAAACAGG